CAUUCAAAGGGUUUGGUUAAGAUAUGCCAAAUUCCACCAAGUAUACAAAUGGAACCUAACUAUACGUGUCCUCCAAUUAUAUCUUCUAAAUCGUC